rnacentral:rRNA from 1 species
UUGCUCUUCAACGAGGAAUGCCUAGUAGGCACGAGUCAUCAGCUCGUGCCGAUUACGUCCCUGCCCUUUGUACACACCGCCCGUCGCUACUACCGAUUGAAUGGCUUGGUGAGGCCUUCGGACUGGCUCCAGGGGGUUGGCAACGACCCCCCAGAGCCGGAAAGUUGGUCAAACCUGGUCAUUUAGAGGAAGUAAAAGUCGUAACAAGGUUUCCGUAGGUGAACCUGCGGAAGGAUCAUUACCGAGUGUUUGGAUGCCCCCUUCUUGGGGGUGUCCGUCCUCCCAUCCGUGUCUAUUGUACCCUGUUGCUUCGGCGGGCCCGCCCUCUUGUGGCCGCCGGGGGGCUUCCCUUGCCCCCGGGCCCGCGCCCGCCGGAGACCUCAACCAUUGAACACUGUCUGAAGGUUGCAGUCUGAGUACCGAUAAACAAAUCGUUAAAACUUUCAACAACGGAUCUCUUGGUUCCGGCAUCGAUGAAGAACGCAGCGAAAUGCGAUAAGUAAUGUGAAUUGCAGAAUUCCGUGAAUCAUCGAAUCUUUGAACGCACAUUGCGCCCGCCAGUAUUCUGGCGGGCAUGCCUGUUCGAGCGUCAUUUCAACCCUCAAGCCCCCGGGCUUGGUGUUGGGGCUCGGCCCGUCCCUAGCGGAUGCGCCGUCCCCGAAAUCUAGUGGCGGUCUCGCUGUUGCCUCCUCUGCGUAGUAGCUAACACCUCGCAAUGGGAACGCAGCGUGACCACGCCGUUAAACCCCCCACUUCUGAAGGUUGACCUCGGAUCAGGUAGGAAUACCCGCUGAACUUAAGCAUAUCAAUAAGCGGAGGA